rnacentral:tRNA from 1 species
GACCGCGUAACUCAGUUGGCAGAGCAUUGGGCUAGUAUUCCAAAGGUCGUAGGUUCGAUUCCCACCGUGGCCA